ACAUUUUCGAAGAGUCAGGAGGAGUUAUAUCUGCAUGUAUGUCUGCAUAGCAUGUACCUUCCUGGUACCUCUGGAAGCCAAAAGAAGGCCUCAGCUAUCCUGGAACUUGAGUUACAGAUGGUUGUGAGCCACCACAUAGGAAUGUUGGGAACUGAACCUGGGUCCUCAGGAAGACUGGCCAGUGUUCUUAACUGCUGAGUCAUCUCUCCAGCCUUGCACAGCAAUCAAGGGAAUCUCCAUCAGCCCCUGAAGAUGAAUUACAGACUCCUGCCUUCAUGUUCUGCCGCUAGGCCACAGGGGAACAGCUGGAGGUUGCAAACAUGGUCGAGAAAGAACUCGCAGCUGAGACCCAUCUCAGGAGGUGCCUGUCUCCUCCAGGGCCACUCAACACAUCCAAUACUGUGACACAGGCCUUCCUAACCGUCUCUGGUGACAACAGGACAGGAACAUCACAGCUGUUUAUGUGCUAUGAUUUCCUAUGUGUGCACACAGGAAUAAGACUCUCUUGCCUUGCCCACAAACCACUCUUCACUCUUGGGAUGACCUUGCUCCAGCUGGGAUCAGAAGUUCUAGAGCAUUCUGGGUAUGAAAUCAAGGCCUGUGGGGAAAAUUUUAGCACCCAGUGUCUGCCCCGGUGUGCUUAGUGUCACCCCCAUAAGCGUUGACUUCACUAUCCCCCGUGUCCUGACUCCUAUAAAGAUGUUGAGUAAGCUCUGA
rnacentral:lncRNA from 1 species